CCAGCGCAGCCUGCCUCGCCGUCUCCCCCAUCAGGGCCACCCCCGGGGCUCUUGUGGGCGCUCCCCGCCGCCCCCCACGCGUGGCUCAGAAGGCAGCCCUGCCCCCUUUGCCUGCCCGCUGCUCUUCCAGGCGCAGAGCAGGGUGGGCACGGGUGCCGGGUUUCCCUGGGAGUCCGUUCCACCCGUGCCACAAGUAGGGCUGCCCUUGAGCUCCUUGGAGGCGGAGGGGUUUCCUAAAAAGCCCUGGCGCCGAUCCAGGGAUCUCGGGCUGUCUUCCAGAUGCCAGCAAACGUGGAGAUCAAGGCCCGGGUGCAGGAUCUGGCCCAGCUGAUCAGCAGGGUGGAGCAGCUGAGCGGGUCCCCUGCCCAGGUCCUGCUUCAGACAGACACCUUCUUUCCUGUUCCCCGCGGACGGCUGAAGCUUCGCGACUUGAGAGAUGGCCGUGGACAGCUGGUGUUUUAUGACCGGCCGAACUCCAGAGGCCCCAAGCUCUCUCACUUUACCAUCUCUCCCACAGAUGACCCCAGAGGACUUGCGGCAGUGCUGUCCCAGGCGCUCGGAGAGCAAGGAGUGGUGAAGAAGGAGCGCCAUCUCUACAUGGUGGGCCAGACCCGCGUCCACGUGGAUCAUGUGGAAGGACUGGGCGACUUUGUGGAGCUGGAGAUGCCCAGCGCCUCUAGCAAUGGGGAGGGAGUGGGCAUCUGCCACGCAGAGGAGUCCCCCCUCCCCCGGCUCCCAAAGCUGGAAUACGGGAGACGCUUCCCUGAAUUGUUCCUCCUUUGUCCCUGAUGGCAGAACGGAGCAGGUAAACACUGUUCGCCAUGUUGCCGCGUGAUCUCCCAGACAGCCAGACCGUGCCUGGAGGUGAUAAACACGGUCGGAGAAAAGAGCUGUGAAAGAAACAGGUGGUGUUACAGGAACAACAGAGUCUCCAGGAGGGUGAGGAAGUGGCCCGGCAACUGAUGUGCAGGUUGGGCAUAGAGGUGAACGAUCUGAUC